rnacentral:tRNA from 1 species
GACAAUGUGGCGGAAGUGGUCUACGCGCGUGUACUAACACUUUAUGUGUACAUACCGUUCCUUCGGGGUUGUGGGUUCGAGUCCCUCCAUUGUCG